GAUUACCUACACAUUAGAGAGAUUUAACUUAGCACGUGAAAGGACGUUGUAUGUUGGUGAUAGUAUCUUUGAUAUGCAGGCUUCAAAGAAUGCAGGCGUUGAUUUUGUAGUCGGUCCCAAGGGUUGGGCUGUUCGCCCAUUAAAGCGGUACGCGAGCUGGGUUCAGAACGUCGUGAGACAGUUCGGUCCCUAUCCGUCGCGGGCGUAGGAAAUUGAGAGGACCUGUCCUUAGUACGAGAGGACCGGGAUGGACAUACCUCUGGUGUACCAGUUGUGCCGCCAGGCGCAUCGCUGGGUAGCUACGUAUGGAUGUGAUAAACGCUGAAAGCAUCUAAGUGUGAAACACACCUCGAGAUGAGAUUUCCCAUUCCUUUAUGGAAGUAAGACCCCUGAAAGAUGAUCAGGUAGAUAGGUUAGAAGUGGCAGUGCGGUGACGCAUGAAGCGGACUAAUACUAAUCGGUCGAGGACUUAACCAA
rnacentral:rRNA from 1 species